UGGAGCGCAGGGGCCCCGCCGGUCAAAGUGCACGGUGGCUGGUCCUGGCAGCCCUGGCCCCCUGUGCUUUCGCAGACGGGUGGGUCUGGGGAUGGAGGCCCACACUGCGGCCCCGUCCACUGCUGGGCGUGAUGUCCAUGCACUUGUCCCUGAGCCCGGCUCGGUGUGAGGAAGGCAGGCCCUGCUUCCAAGGGGGUCUGUGGUCUGCCUUCAGCCACUGCAGAGCCCAGGGGCAGAGCUGGAAGCGCCAGUGCUGGUGGCUCAGUGAUGCAAGCCUGCUCUCCUCACAAAGGGGGCACAUCACCUCAGGACCUCAGGGUCUGAGGGCUUCAGAAGCCCAUGGGAUGUGGACCCGGGCUUGUCUGUGUCUCGUCUAUCUUCCUCUCAAGGGUUUUCUUCCUUCUGUGGGGACCACACUCAGCCCGGAGCUCAGGGGCCCCAUCAGCUGCAAACCUGAGGAUGCAGGGCAGCGAGAAGAUGCAGGUGGGCUCCCCUGGGGACUGCCUGGGAUCUCCUCGUGCUUUUCCCUGGUGGGAUCUCAAAAUAAGUCAUUUCCACAGAAAAACAGGACCAAUAAAUUCCUUCACGUGAUAUAUAAAACUGCUCAACACAACAGCCGGAGACGUGGGCUACGCCGUGCCAGGCGCAGGGAAACACCACAGAUUUCCUAAUUAGCAAACCAAGAAUAAAAGUAAUUCAUUGUCUGCAGCCUACCAGGCAUUUUUCUUUUUUGGUUUGACGUGUUCAGUCGUUGUUAAUUAUUUACUGUUACCCUGCAGCCAUAUGUGCCGGGAAAUAAUAUAAAAACAGAAUGAUGGAGCCCAUCCCCCAGCUGUCUUCACGAGCGUCAACGACGGUGGCGUUGGCUGUGAUUUCAAGUGAUGCACAGACGCAGGGUUGGCAAUCCAGAUGCAAGUUAGGAUUUCUAGGCCGAAAUCAUCUAGUUUAGAGAGCUACAAAUUCUGAAUUCGUUCAUUCGUUUAAAAUUGUCCCCUUCAGUUCGAGAUGUUUACGUCAGCUUGCGAGAUUACUGGUAACUCAAGCAGUAAAACGAUGCGGGGCGCACUUACCAGAUGAAACAUGUUGGCUUCGUCCAAAACAAACACCGUGAGCAAACUCAUUUCCCCAAACUAUGUCUUUUCCACAUUCUUCCCCUGGGUGGUGUCUCUGAAUUUCUCACUGGGCUCAAUUCUCCCUUGGAUGGUGUUGCAGUGGGAUCCUGUACCCCUCUGACAUGGAAGGCCUAAGGGAAGCUGAGAGCCUCCUAGUGGCUGACCACAUGGACUUUGGGCCUUGGGGUCAGAGAAGGGAGCCAGAGGAGCACCCCAUCCCCGCUGGGACCACUUGCACUAUUUCCCGGGGUUGGGGCUUGCUAUCUGAGGCUCUGGGACCUCAGCAGUGUGCGCUGUUCAUGGUGUCAAUGGAGUCUCACCUUCAGGUGCAAGUGUUCCUUGCACCAGGACACACUCAGCUCCUCUGAUAAGAUCUAGAAUAAGCUGAGUUCAUUAUGAUGUUUAAAUCUAGAACUUUGGCAGAGUCCAAGGAAACAUUGAACCAAUAAGUAGACUUUUCCCUUUCUUUAAUACCUCAGUCCUAUCCACCAAGUGAGCACCGAAACUCAUCCCCCAUGUGAUUGAUGGAGAAAGAAUCUUUCCAUCUUUCAAGCCCAAGGUAGAACGAUGUGAAAAAGAGCAUGAUCAACGGGAACCUGGAAAUCUUCCCCGCCCCUGCAGAUCUUCCCAAGCAGGGACCAAGCUCUUGACACUUUCCGAUUAAGAUUCCCUGGAAGCUACUACCCCUAGCACAGCACCUGGUUCAGUAGUAAGAUGGUGAAUAUUUACUGAGAAUGGACUUUCAUCGGUUGCUAUGAUCACUUCAGUACUUCUUGAAGGACGUUUACAAACAUGAUCCUUUUACAAUCAAAUGGAAUCAAGAGAGAAAUACAUAUAGUUAGGUAUAACAAAGAAUCCAUGGUUUGGAAGUUGUUGCCCUCAGAGGAAGUGAUAGAAUUGAUCCCCAUGGGGCUCCAUGCGGCAGGUGUUCGGUUUCCUGCUGUGGGUGUUGGUUAUAUGGUUGUAUCCAGUUUGUGAAAUUUUAUCAAGCUGUACUUGUAUAAUUGUACAUUUCCUGUCUUUAUUUUAAAAUUCAACAGAAAGUUCUGCAAAAAUUAAGUGCAUCUAUCUUAGUUGAAGAAUAACAUCUGGAGUCCCUCAGCAGCUACGCUUUUUAGUAGAAAAACAACCGGGAGUUAAGAAAUCAAGUUCUGUCCCAUUUCUUUAACUAAUCGGCUCUGUGACCCAGAUGAGUCUUUAACCUUGGUGAUUAUUCCUGCGUUUCUCAUCAUUAUCACCUAAGGAAUUUGAACUAGAAUAAACUUAAUGCCCAACAUUUCAGCUGCGUCACAAUCCUCGGCCCCCACAUCAGUCUCUAGCUGCUGCUUCGCUUCCGGAGAGAGUCUCAGGAAAGGACUGGAGAUCCCCCCACCCAUCUUCACUUCUCUCCUCUGGUUGAGCCACUUGGUUCAGGCCUUCAUCUGAGCUGCUCUGGCCACAGACACAGACAUCCCCAGAUUCCAGCCCCAGAUGUCCCACUGCCACUCACCAGAGCCACCUGGAUGUCUGAGAACAUUAGACCUCACAUACCAACACCAGGCUCUUGAUUUCUGCUCCAGGAACCUGCUCCUCUGGCAGGCUCCUCAGUGUGUACAAUAUAGUGAUUCAACACUUCCAUACAACAUCUGAAGAUCAUCAAAAGUGAUGAUUUAAUUUCUCCGUGAUGACAUCCCACCAAGCGUCCCAUUCUUAUCAAGAAUAAUUCCAGUGCUCUCAAAGAGUCAGCAAAAGAAACUAUUGAAUGACCACAUGGACCAGUGGAUGGACAAUGACUUCAUGAAUGUAGCACCAAUAGGUAAAACCCCAAGCCAAUGUCCUGUGGAGCUACCAUGAAGAGAGCUGCUUAUUCUUCUUCUUUCCUUCUAAUUAUAUUACCCAAAGCCCACCCUGGGAGAGAGUCGAGGUAACACAGGAUGUGCAAUCAGAGCAGAACGAAGCAGGCAAAGGUGCCAGGUUUGCCCUGUGAAUGAGACAAUGAGUAAACCAAGAUAUCACUCCUGUAGCACCGGGAAGGAUGGACAGCGAGCCCUUCUGUCUGCCCCCAGCCUCAGGGGGACCAGCCAUCAUCUGAGCCAUGACCAGAGCUUGUUAUUCCUGGGGGAAGCUGAAGUCUGAAAAGAUGUAGGGAUUUUGCUAAGAAUGCCCUUCCUGCUUGGGCAGCUGUGGGAGGGAGAGCCCACAUGGAACUUUCUCAUACAUUCCUUUACCAGCUUGCAUCCUGUUCUUGCCCUUUAUCCCUUGCCUCCUCCCUGAAUUUCACAGGGGAGGGAUGUAGGGUAGAGGAGCCUCUCCAGCACUGGGGGGAAGGUUUGAGGCCAACAGCAAGAUCUCUUGCAACCCUGCUUAGAAAUUUCA